CCACCACUCUGAAUGUAGUGCACACUUAAGAAUUUAUAUGGAUCAGCGUUGAGGCUGAGACAUGUUCUUUUAUAACUUGUGACGUAGCGAGCGUUUGAGAUAUCUAUCUAAACGUGUCGUUGAGGCUAAGGCGGGGACUUCGAGUCCCUAAAUAAUUGAGUCGUAUGUUCGCGUUGGUGGCUUUGUACCCCACACAACACGGCAGAUAGCUCCGAGGCAACUUGGGGUUAUAUGGUCAAGCGAAUAAGCGCACACGGUGGAUGCCUAGGCGGUCAGAGGCGAUGAAGGACGUGGUAGCCUGCGAAAAGUGUCGGGGAGCUGGCAACAAGCUUUGAUCCGGCAAUAUCCGAAUGGGGAAACCCACUGCUUCGGCAGUAUCCUGCAGUGAAUUCAUAGCUGCUGGAAGCGAACCCGGUGAACUGAAAUAUCUAAGUAACCGGAGGAAAAGAAAUCAACCGAGAUUCCCUAAGUAGUGACGAGCGAACGGGGAGCAGCCCUUAAGCUGGAAUGGCUCUAGAAAAACAAUCUGGAAAGAUUGGCCAUAGAAGGUGAUAGCCCUGUAUUUAAAAGGGCCACUCCAGUGAAGACGAGUAGGGCGGGGCACGUGAAACCCUGUCUGAAUAUGGGGGGACCAUCCUCCAAGGCUAAAUACUCCUGACCGACCGAUAGUGAACCAGUACC
rnacentral:sRNA from 1 species